UACGUAGGGGGCAAGCGUUGUCCGGAUUUACUGGGUUUAAAGGGCGCGCAGGCGGAUAUGUAAGUCAGUGGUGAAAUCUUCGAGCUUAACUCGGAAACUGCCAUUGAUAUUAUUUAUCUUGAAUACUUUGGAGGUAAGCGGAAUAUGUCAUGUAGCGGUGAAAUGCUUAGAUAUGACAUAGAACACCAAUUGCGAAGGCAGCUUACUACACAGUUAUUGACACUGAGGCACGAAAGCGUGGGGAUCAAACAGG
rnacentral:rRNA from 1 species